rnacentral:rRNA from 1 species
UACGGGGGGGGGCAAGCGUUGUUCGGAAUUACUGGGCGUAAAGGGCUCGUAGGCGGCCAACUAAGUCAGACGUGAAAUCCCCAGGCUCAACCUGGGAACUGCGUCUGAUACUGGAUGGCUUGAAUCCGGGAGAGGGAUGCAGAAUUCCAGGUGUAGCGGUGAAAUGCGUAGAUAUCUGGAGGAAUACCGGUGGCGAAGGCGGCAUCCUGGACCGGCAUUGACGCUGAGGAGCGAAAGCCAGGGGAGCAAACGGG